rnacentral:rRNA from 1 species
AUUGAACGCUGGCGGCAGGCCUAACACAUGCAAGUCGAACGGUAACAGGAAACAGCUUGCUGUUUCGCUGACGAGUGGCGGGCGGGUGAGUAAUGUCUGGGAAACUGCCUGAUGGAGGGGGAUAACUACUGGAAACGGUAGCUAAUACCGCAUAACGUCGCAAGACCAAAGAGGGGGACCUUCGGGCCUCUUGCCAUCGGAUGUGCCCAGAUGGGAUUAGCUAGUAGGUGGGGUAACGGCUCACCUAGGCGACGAUCCCUAGCUGGUCUGAGAGGAUGACCAGCCACACUGGAACUGAGACACGGUCCAGACUCCUACGGGAGGCAGCAGUAGGGAAUAUUGCACAAUGGGCGCAAGCCUGAUGCAGCCAUGCCGCGUGUAUGAAGAGGGCCUUCGGGUUGUAAAGUACUUUCAGCGGGGAUGAAGGGAGUAAAGUUAAUACCUGUGCUCAUUGACGUUACCCGCAGAAGAAGCACCGGCUAACUCCGUG